GACGAACGCUGGCGGCGUGCCUAAUACAUGCAAGUAGAACGCUGAAGGAGGAGCUUGCUUCUCCGGAUGAGUUGCGAACGGGUGAGUAACGCGUAGGUAACCUGCCUGGUAGCGGGGGAUAACUAUUGGAAACGAUAGCUAAUACCGCAUAACAGUAGAUGUUGCAUGACAUUUGCUUAAAAGGUGCAAUUGCAUCACUACCAGAUGGACCUGCGUUGUAUUAGCUAGUUGGUGAGGUAACGGCUCACCAAGGCGACGAUACAUAGCCGACCUGAGAGGGUGAUCGGCCACACUGGGACUGAGACACGGCCCAGACUCCUACGGGAGGCAGCAGUAGGGAAUCUUCGGCAAUGGACGGAAGUCUGACCGAGCAACGCCGCGUGAGUGAAGAAGGUUUUCGGAUCGUAAAGCUCUGUUGUAAGAGAAGAACGAGUGUGGGAGUGGAAAGUUCACACUGUGACGGUAUCUUAACAGAAAGGGACGGCUAACUACGUG
rnacentral:rRNA from 1 species